rnacentral:rRNA from 1 species
UACGAAGGGUGCAAACGUUGCUCGGAAUUAUUGGGCGUAAAGCGCACGUAGGCGGCUCCGCAAGUCCCAUGUGAAAGCCCACGGCUCAACCGUGGAAGUGCAUGGGAAACUGCAGAGCUUGAGUACUAAAGAGGAUCGCGGAAUUCCCGGUGUAGAGGUGAAAUUCGUAGAUAUCGGGAGGAACACCAGUGGCGAAGGCGGCGAUCUGGGUAGAUACUGACGCUGAGGUGCGAAAGCGUGGGGAGCAAACAGG